GACCGAAUAGCGUAGUGGUUAGUGACUAGUGACCCUGACUACUGAGCCGAAGGUCCCGGGUUCGAUUCCCGGCUGGGGCA
rnacentral:tRNA from 1 species